rnacentral:rRNA from 1 species
AGUAGUAGUCGUAGUGGUAGUGUACCAGGUCAUACCCGGUCAGUACCUGGAUGGGAAACUGCCUGGGAACACCGGGUGUUGUUGGUU